rnacentral:rRNA from 1 species
AGAGUUUGAUCCUGGCUCAGGAUGAACGCUGGCGGUAUGCCUAACACAUGCAAGUCGAACGAUGUCUUCGGACAUAGUGGCGGACGGGUGAGUAACGCGUGAGAAUCUGCCUCUAGGAUGGGGAUAACGGUUGGAAACGACCGCUAACACCCAAUAUGCCGUAAGGUGAAAAAUUUAUUGCCUGGAGAGGAGCUCGCGUCUGAUUAGCUAGUUGGUGGGGUAAGAGCUCACCAAGGCCUCGAUCAGUAGCUGGUCUGAGAGGAUGAGCAGCCACACUGGGACUGAGACACGGCCCAGACUCCUACGGGAGGCAGCAGUGGGGAAUUUUCCGCAAUGGGCGAAAGCCUGACGGAGCAAUACCGCGUGAGGGAGGAAUGCCUUUGGGUUGUAAACCUCUUUUCUCAGGGAAGAAGAUCUGACGGUACCUGAGGAAUAAGUAUCGGCUAACUCCGUGCCAGCAGCCGCGGUAAUACGGAGGAUGCAAGCGUUAUCCGGAAUCAUUGGGCGUAAAGCGUCCGCAGGUGGUUUCCAAAGUCUGCUGUUAAAGACUGGAGCUCAACUCCGGAACGGCGGUGGAAACUUGGAAACUAGAGUUCGGUAGGGGUAGCAGGAAUUCCCAGUGUAGCGGUGAAAUGCGUAGAUAUUGGGAAGAACAUCGGUGGCGAAGGCGUGCUACUGGACCGUAACUGACACUCAGGGACGAAAGCUAGGGGAGCGAAAGGGAUUAGAUACCCCUGUAGUCCUA